AAAAAACCAUGCUGUCAUCACCUGACAGAAAAUGAGGGUCUCAAGGUGGAGAACGCAGCCCUGAAGAAGCAGCUCGAGGAGCAAAAAGAUUUAAUUGAUACUUCGAAAAUGCUUAGAAAGCUGCAGCGAGCUGUCGACAAGCUCACUUCAGCUGCCGAGGGAGCAAAGCCUGCCGAGCCUGAAGAGAACACGCACCGAAACAUUGGUGGAGGUGUGAUGGUCUCUGAAGCCACAAUGACAAGGCUGGAGGAGACAUAUAGAGAUGCUCCAUGCAAAUUUGCGAGGGCGCUAUUAAGGGUUCUCUUCAGUGAU